CGGCGUUGCCGUGAGCUGGGGUGUAGGUCGCAGACGCGGCUUGGAUCUCGAGUUGCUGUGGCUCUGGUGUAGGCCGGUGGCUACAGCUCCGAUUAGAUUAGACCCCUAGCCUGGGAAUCUCCAUAUGCCACAGGAGCGGCCCUAGAAAAGGCAAAAAAAAAAGAAAUAAAAAAUAAAGGUAAUGAGUGGAGCACUCCACACACACACUUCUUGUCUGGGCAGCAGAUGGCGUUGCCAGGAACAAGGCAUCCUUGGACCCAGGCUUGGGGGGCUGGGCCAGCUGAGGGCCCGGGUCAGCAGUAGCUGGAGGGAGAUGUGGCAGAGGAGGCUUGUGGCUUCCUGUGAAGAACUGAAGAGCCACUUCCUUUAAGCAGAUGGCUGUGGGGGAGGGGCAGAAGACUAGGGGGCAUGGGCUUCCUGGCCCAGGGGGAGAGGCCCAGAGCAGCCUUCUAUUUCCUUUCUCUCUGGGGUCUCCAUGGAGCAGACAGGCAGAGUUACACCUUUCCCAUGUGCUGUAAAGCUACAGAGAGGAGAGAUUCGAGGCAGCUCAUCUGUACAAGUAAAGAAAUGAAGUCUUGGUUAGGAAGGAAGCAGGCCCAAAGGCACCUCCAGCCAUGCUGGCCUCUUUUCCCUUCCCAGAACCCUCCAAGUGCCUGCCAAGCUCAACGGCUUUCCACAAGCUCUUUCCUUUGCCUGGAACACUUUUGUUGCUUCAGGAGUCAGCUGGAAUGUAACUUCUCCAGAGACCCGAGCCCCCACUCUAAAUUAAACACUCCGUUAUUCCAGCAGCCUGUACCUUAUGUUCCUAGAAUUGAUCACGGUUGUAAUAAAAGCAUGAUUGGUGUAAGCAUUUGUUACUGUCAGACCUGCUCACUAGACUCCCAGCACAAGCACGGGGCUCAUCGUUAUUUAUCUCCAGCACCCAGCGCAGCACCUGGCACACAGCAAGUGCCCAAUAGCUUUGGUUGAGUGGAGAGACAGACAGAUGGACAGCUGGGUGGACAGACAAAUGGGUGGAUGACCUGAAUGAGUGAAUGACUAUAUUUUAAAAUUUAGAAAACUAUGGAGUUCCCGUCUUGGCGCAGCGGAAAUGAAUCCAACUAGGGACCAUGGGGUUGCGAGAUCGAUCCCUGACCUCGCUCAGUGGGUUAAGGAUCCGGCCUUGCCAUGAUCUGUGGUGUAAGUCGCAGACACGGCUGGGAUCUGGUGUUGCUGUGGCUCUGGCGCAGGCCGGUAGCAACAUCUCCAAUUAGACCCCUAGCCUGGGAACCUCCAUAUGCCGCGGGUGCGACCCUAAAAAGACAAAAAAUAAAAUAAAAUUUAGAAAACUAUUCACCUGGCUGUGCUUCUCAGGCCAGUUAUAAAGUGCUCUAUUCACCCGGGAGUUAUUUUCACCCUUCGAAAGGCCCCACCCACUGGCCCUCAAAGGCCUUUCCCAGGCCGGGCCACUGGGCGGGGUUUCCGGGGCCGGAUGCGUGACGUCACCAAAGUAGGUGUGCCCUGGAUCAGCCUCUGCUUCCUGAUUGGCGGGCGCCGGACAGCGGCCCCACUCUCUGCCGCUGCCGUCGGAGUAGAAGCCGUGGGAGCGAGGCUCGUGAACCUGACAAGGCGUCCUCGUGGACCGCGUCAAGGUGGUCCGCAGUCGUACCAGCUUCAGCUUGUCGGGGUCCCCGGGGGACAUGUUCACUUAGCGCUGAGCGUUUGGCCUCGCUCUCGCUGUUCUGCUGGAAGAUAGGACAGUGGAAGGGGCCUGCGCUGCGGCUGUACCGCUUUCCGCAGCGGGCUGGGUCGAGAACCGGUAACCAAACCUUGACGUGCUCACAUAGGCGCGGCUAUUUCGGGCCUCUGACCUCGGCGAGGAAAGUCCUAGAAACACAGCCCCACACUCCUUCUCACUCUUCUGGACACGCUUCACCUUUUCCCCCCACCCCAAACUCAGACCUCCAAAGAGCUAUGGGGCGAGGAGUAGCCCUGGACUCCUAUUGCCUCAUUCAGACCCCAUGCCAGCCCUGUAAAACAGGAGAUGCUAUUCCCAUUUUACAGAUGCACAAACUGGGGUUCCUGGAUGAAUGCUAUUUACCCAAGGUCACACAGUGAGAUAGUGGCCCCCAGGCCAAACUUCAAAGCCCAACGUCUUUCUUGUACCCCUCUUGUCUACCUGUCCUGCUACCAGGCCCCUUUUGCCUGAAGCAUCUUGAGGUCCUGAAGGUCCCACGGCUCCUGUUCCACACAGCUGGAUGCCACCCCACUGGGGCCUCAGCAGCUGUGCCUGGGCAGCAGCUAAGGGCUGGUUGUAUGCUGGGAGUCACCUCUUUCUUCUGUGCUUGCUCACUCCCCCAAACUAGGGAGGACCCUAGACCAAAAUUAGGCAGUGGCCAAGGAGCAUUCUGGUAGCCACCAAGCCCCUGAAACUGGGCUGGGCCACUUAUUUGCUGUAUGACCUUGAGAGGCUUCCUUUCUCAGAACCUCAAUUUAUCAUCUGUAAAGGGGGCAUAAUAUCCUUCUGCAGGGCCCCGGUGUGCUGGAAUUCAGGAAAGCUGCUCUUCUCUCCCUCUCAGGCCUCCUCACCCUUGAACCCUCUCACCUUGAGGAACGGAGCCCCCUCUCCAGGGUCCCUGUGAUGUCAGAACUUCAGCAAAACCUGCACAUAGCCUGGUCCUUGAUGGGGAUCACGUCCUGGGUUGGGCAGGCACCAGGUUGGAGGGGGCACAGCUUACCCAGCUUCAGCCCCUUUGG
rnacentral:lncRNA from 9 species